ACGUCGUGUCUAUAUAAGCCAAACAUUCAGACAAUCUUAUCUCUUAUGCAGUUCUCUAAAUAGAACAUAUUAAUUAUGAAGUUGUAUUUAUAUUUUUUUAUAGUUACAGUGCUAGCUGUGAAUACAUUGACUGCACUUCCUUAUCCACUUGAAACGAAUUUUUGUAGGGUUCAUGGACUCAAAAUUAGAGAAGGUGAAGCGGUCUCCAUCCCGGGUCACUGCAAAACUGUAAAGUGUCUGAAGGCAUCCACUGGGAAAAUUUCUACUAUGGGAUGCUCCAUGUUUAUAUUCACCCCAGGUUGUAUUGUAUCUGAACUGGAUCUUACGAAAAGUUUCCCCCUCUGCUGUUCAAGAAGCAUUUGCUAGUACGUACUUGCUAUCUUACCUAUGAGAAAUUGAUUUGUGAUCAAGAAUAGUUGUACUGUGAAAUGGAUAAGUAUACCUAUGUGGUAUAGGCGUAUAGGGGGAUAGGUGCCUAUAAUUAGCAUAUAAUUGUACUAUAAGUGAUUACAGGGAUAUACUCUUUGAGUUUUGGAUGCAUAUUUCAAUGCCUAACUUUUUUUAUAAGAAAUUUGUUACACCACAGCAUUAUUUUGUAUAAUUUGAGACAUUAAAGGCGCAAAUAUUGUGUUUAAUAGGUAAAGGUGCCAAAUCUGUUCAUUAAGAUCCACAUUUGUGCCAUCAAUAAUUUGAAGUUGCAGCAUUUUAAGAUUACUCUUAUGCACAGUGUUCAAGAUAUAAUGCAUCGGUAUAUCUCAAUUCCCAGAGUUUGAGCUGUAUCAUUACCUAAUGUCGAAUUAGGUAUAUUCUGGAAGCCAGACGAAAAAGCUGGAAGUAAGAAUCCGAUUGAUGCCACUCUGUCACCCUUGAGCAUUUUGAG